UUUUUUUUUUCUUUUUUUUUUUUUGAGUAAUCUUUUGACUUGGGCAUAGUCAGAUGAAGGGAAUUUAUAGACAGUUCAAAUUUGGUCUUAUUUCUACCAAAAUCAUAUGUUCUGUAUAGAGACUCUGUUCCAAACUCUAGUGGUAGUCCCAUGCUUUGAAUGUAUGCUCAUUCACAAGAACUGGCCUAGGGUGACCCAGUUCCUACAUUGUGAUCAUCAAACAUUCAUCAACAGCUAAAUUUCAACAUCUAAAAUAUCAGGCUGCAUUUGCCUGAAACCUGAACUUAAACUGAUCUCUGAAAUUAAGCUUUGAGUCAACUGUCUCCCAAAUUACAUUUCUAAAUAAAGAUUCUGCAGCAUGUAAAAGCAUUAUUUACUCAUUCUCAUAAACAGAACUGGGCAUGACCUCAGCAGGUUCAAGUAGGCAUAACCUUCAUUGAAGUUAAUAUUAUAAACUGAUUUACAUUAAGUUCGAGAACUUCACUUUUCUUGGACUUUGCUGUAAAAAUAUAUUUCCUCUAAAUGAAAGUUAAGUCUGUACUUUUGAGAAAAGUUGCAAGAAAGAUUAUGUUCUUGUAAAAAUCUAUUUUUAGCAUAAUCACAGCAGAUCAUCGUGGCAAUCUUUAGUUUUUAUCAGUAUCUUUUGAAACACAUGCUACCCACCUCAAAACGAAUCAUUAUUUUCAUAAAAAGCAACAAAGUUAUUCAAAGAGAUAAAAUAUUCAUCUUAAGUAAGGGAAUAAGACAAGAAAAAUCAAAAUCUUAAAUUUCUUACCCUAAGCUUUCUUGACAUGAGGAUUCAAGAGUUCACUUCUGUUGCACAUUAAUCAUUUCAGCUACCAUUGGGAAGUAAUGACCCCUAAAUCAAGUUCUACUCAGCUGUUGGAAGGAACAUUUCCAAUAUUUAGAGAGAGCAGAUCAAGGAUUCCUCAGUUUUCACCUUCAAUGAAAGACUGAGAUAGAACCACACAACUUAUUCUGGCCUCAGUUUCAUUUGUUGAAAUGGGUAUUUCACAUUAUUUCAUAAGGCUUCAUUAGUCAUAGACUAUAGCAAAUAGAGCUAACAUGGACAAGAGGGGAUUGGGUGUCACAAAGGUGACAAAGAGUCACAAACUCUUCCUGUUCAGAGGAGAAAGUGGUUGUGUCUCACUCUGACUCUUGGAGAAAACAUGCACAAAAAAUGUGAUUUGGCUUUAGCAGAACAUGAAACAAGAAUGAAAGCACACAUAUAUUUAAUUGUGUUGGUUUACUUGGAAAAUAAUAUAUUUUCUUACAUUCUCAUGUGAUAAAAUCAUAAGAGUAGUCAAGAUGAAAAUGCAUUAUUGUCAGUCUCCAUUCAAACUGAUUACGAGAGAGCAUCAUAUUGUCUCUGUAAAGUUAUUGCUACUCUUACAGAGACUGGAGAGCUUUUGAAUUUGUUUUUCAAUAAGUUUUUUCCAGACUCUUCAUUGGUGACCUCAGAAACAAAAAGAACCUCCACUGGAGGAGCUAGAAAAAUCCAUUCCUUUUACAAACGCACCUUAAAAAGUAAUAUAUUAUCCCUCCCAUGCCCACCACCAUAUGCACAAAGGGGAAAAAUUAUGAAACAUUAAGUUACUGAUACCUACUAGGUUACAAUUAACUAAAUUGUGGUAGAAAAUCAGCACCAACAAGUGGGGAAGAAAGAGAUGUAUUUUAAAGUUAGGUUGCAAAUGAGAAUGUUUGUGAGAAGGGAUUGUCAAGUGCAGCAAUAAAGAGGGAACUAAGACAGUUAAGUAGAGGCUGGUAGCUGGAUAUAUUUAAAGCAAAAAUAGAAUCCUUCUCAAUAUGAACAUAAAAUGAGGAGUGGAAGGUGUGAGAGUUCAUUGCAGCAAAUAUCAAAGAUAAAUUUUAUAAUAAAAGUGAGGCACCUGGAUUUUACAGCACAAACAUCAAACUGUAAAGGUCUGACUGGGACAGUUCUGGAUCUAAGCACCAGCCUGCUCUUUCAUGAACCCUGUCUACAUGAUAAUUAUAAAGUCAGAAAAUAUUACGUAAUAAUGCAUGAUCACAAGUGGGAAUAACUCAAAAAAAUAUAGCUCCAGAUAAGCCAUCUCAGGUUUUACACAAAUAGCCCAAUGAAUUUUGGGGCUUGUUUCCAAAAGUAGCAGUCCAUUAUUGGUGGACACAAGGGCCAGAUGAAAAACUCACUAUUUUCCUAAAUUUGUAACUCUAACUGCAGGUUACCUUUAGAUAUGUACCUUCUUGCUACCUUGGAGAUUUUGUUGGUUUGGUGCAUCUUUUCUUUCUGAACACUUUCCAUGAGUAUUUGUAUUUUGAAAAGAUAGUACAAGACUUCAGGUGAGAUCCUUAAGUCACACUGGAUACUUCUAUUUUUCUAGAGAAUACAUACAAUUUUAAAGCUAAUUUCCAAGUCUAAGAUUCAAAUAUUAAUUUGAAUUUGACAUUCUUCAAGUAUUUGUGAGGAAAAGAAAGGCCAUUCUAAGAAAUGCCUCCCACUAAAAUUAGAAUAUUCAUGGAUUACAAAUCCCUGUGUGGUAUGAAAAGGAAAUCUGCAUUUUUAAUAAAACUGGAACUAUUAAAAACACACCCAGAAAAUGGUUGGAAUAAUUUUUCAGCCUACUUCAGGUGUCCAUGUGAGUAGACCUGGUCCUUGAAAGAGUCCUGCUUUACAUACAAACUUCUCAGACUUCCAUCAUUCAUUAAUUUGCAAAAACCACCCACUGUCAGGAAAGGAAAAAUUGGUACAUCAACUAUUACAGGAGCUUGACCCUUACAAAUCGAUGGACCCAGAUAAUGUCCACCCAAGGUUAUUAAAAGUGCUGGCUGAGAUCCUCAUGAGGCUGCUUUCCAUGACCUUUGAGCAGUUGUGGAGAUCAGGAAACAUCUCAGAUGUUUCUAAUAUGUUUCCUGAAGAAGAAGAAGGCCGAUAUCAUACCAUCUACCAUACCUUCUACAAAAAGGGCUAAAUGAGGACCAAGGAAAUUAUAGUCCCAUCAGCUUUCAGUCCCUGAGAAAGUACCGGAAUGGAUCCUCCUGGGGGCCAUCCCAAAUCAGAUGAAGCACGUGUUGGGAAAAGCCAGCACAGAUUCAACAAGGGCAAAUAUUGCUUGACAAACAUGAUUGCCUGCUAUGACAAAGUAGCCCUCUUGGCUGAUGUGAGGCGACAGUGGAGAUUGUCUUCCUGGAUUUCUCCAAGGGUUUUGAUAGGGUUUCCCUCAGCCUGGCAUAAGGGCAGCUGCAGAGUGGCAUCUCCUGAAAGCUGGGUCAUUUUGAAGGAGCCUUUUACAGGUGGACCAGAGGAUCUGGGUGAACAAUGCUGAAGCACACUGCAAGGUGUGAUAGUUAAGGAUAAGAUUAAUAUGCCUGCUGAAGUGGACACUGUUGUGAGGGAAUCUGAUCCUAACAGCUGCAAAGAGUUAGGUAUAUCUUAUGAUUCCUCAUGGAGAAAAAGUAAGCAGUUGCUUUUGCUCUUCUAAGUUAUUGUAAUAGAUUUAUGAAUUUUAUAUUACUGAAGUAUUCAUAAUUAUUCAAAACUAACUUCGGCAGAAAUACACAGGAUAAAAAUAUGACCAUGUCUGCCACUAAAAAUUUCUAGUUUGAGAAAUAGUUGAUUAUUGUAAAAUUAAUCAUGGGAGGAAAAAGUGUGUAUCAAGAAAAUUUCCUUAUAUCUUUUUCUUUUUUGAUUUCCAUUGACAGGCAUGGCAGGAUCAUCAGGAUCUCAGAUAAGCAAAAAGCACAUCAAAAAAAUCAAGUUUAAAAAAAAGUAUAAUUUUCACUGUAGCCAUCAGCCUGCAGCUAUUACAAAUGAGUAAUUUAUAAGUGUGCAAUUUACAGAAUGUGUAUGGAAGCACAUUUAAUGCUGAUACAAAGACAGCUUGGAUGUGUAAUGAGGUUUUUAUAGCAUGUUGUGCUAGGUUUAAUGCAGGCAUGUAGGUACAGCUUCCUCAGCAAUUACUAAGGGUUGGUUGAGGGUGCUUUCUUUUUUUUAAGUCUGAAAAAUGUGCUUUUAAAUAGAACUCUAGAAAAAAUUUACAUAAUUAUUUCAAAUCUCUCAAUGUCUUUUCUUUGUACAUGAUCACUCUGUAAUACAUCGAGGCUAUAUUAGUUAUGAGAGGUUUUUUUUUAAACUGUCACCACACUACCAAGAUGAGAAAACUAAUCCUGUACUUCAUGCAUGGCUGGAUCCUUCUGGAAAAUAAUGAGAGGCAUCCUAGGGAGAAAGGACUACUUACCAUAAAAUACAUUCUCAGUAUAUUUCUCCUCCUUUUCUUAUUUUUUUAAUUUCAUUUUUAAGUACAUUUGCAUGAAAACAGGAUCUCUGGCUAAGGAUGCCCUUUGGAUUCCUCCCUCCCCAUUGAUAUUUUAACAUCCUCUUGUGGUGACUAGCAUCCAAGUUCUGUCAGCACCUACAAAUUUAACCUUUCAAACACACCCACUGAUUUCCUUGAAGCAAUCUACUGAAUGUGGUGCAGCACAUGGACAGUGUUUGCAGGAGCAGGGCCCAGAUAAUUAUUUCCAGAUGAAGUGUGCUGCAAAGAGAGUGGUAGAACUAGCACAGCUAGAAGAGUGAAAUUUCAAGGAACUGAAUUCAGUCCAAAGAUAUGCCCCUCAACAAUUUCUUUGCCUGGAACAACUCAAGCACGGGACAGUUUUCACCAGCAAAUCUCAGGAGAAGCAAAUUCUACAUGGUCACAAAGGGAAUCUGUGAGGGACAAGAGCAGUGGUCUCAAAAGGGUACAGACCCUGAAGGGAUUGCUUCCUUAGGAUGCUGCUGACCAGGAUGGCAAACCAGAGAUGAUUUAUGUCUCUGUGGUAUGAGCUGACUACAGUAUUUAUUGAAGAGUUAAUUUUUAGCUGAAUCCACAGGCUAAAUUUUGGUAUGGUGUUCUUGCCCUCAAAGACAGCUGCAGUUACUGGACAAAAUCAGCUCUUCUAGCACACUUUUGCUGAAUGACAAUACUGGAAAAUAACAUAAAAAAUAUUGAUGAAGCACAUUAAAGACUUUAAUUAUAUUUUCUCCUCAUUCAGAAGUGACUUCUGUGGGUAAUCACAUCUUUUUACAUUUUGCUCUUAAUAAGGAGAAUUGUCAGGUUGUUUUCACCUGAGCAAAAAGUCUAGAAAUGGGCUUAAUUGUCCCAUGUGCUGGUGCAUUUUAUCUUUGUAGUUGAAAGCCCCAAUCUACUGUCAGAAGACAUGCCCAUUUGGGGUGUUCACAACCAGUAAGGAAACCUAUCCCAGUUACCAAACUCAACAGAAAUUUAAGGGGAAAAGCAAAAGGAAGAAGAAUCAGGUCUACUUUACUG
ensembl:lncRNA